rnacentral:lncRNA from 1 species
AUGCCCCUUACAAGACUGCUCCCUCCUCACUCCCCCUCUUGGGUUACCUGCUCAGCCUUCCCCCUGCAUCUGCCAACACCCAGGCUUCCACCAGGACCACCAAGACUCCCACCCUGGAGACACCAUCCUACAAAUGGUGCACAAUGCCCUCAGGGGUUCUUGUGUAGAUACCAAGGAGCCACCUGGAGGGGCCGUUGGGAAUCAGCCCAGGAGGGAAACGCCUGGCUGUCUGGCUUUGGAGGGCGGUUCUCAUCUGAGAUGGGGGCAAGUGCAUCUACAGAACCAGCCAGGCAGAGCGUCCACCUUGCAUCCCAGAUCCCUGAGGAAGCUCACGUGACUCCAGCUGUCGCCACCCCCUGGGCACCUGUGCACUCUGCCUAUGGAGCCCAACCUGCAAUUGACCCAACCCUCUGGCCUGUCAUGGGAGCCCGCUGUGCUGUCCACCCCUGCACGGGGUACCCAGCCCCUUGGAGUUACCCGUGGGUGCCCGUUGGCAGUCCUCUCUUGCAUCCCAGAUCCCUGAGGAAGCUCACGUGACUCCAGCUGUCGCCACCCCCUGGGCACCUGUGCACUCUGCCUAUGGAGCCCAACCUGCAAUUGACCCAACCCUCUGGCCUGUCAUGGGAGCCCGCUGUGCUGUCCACCCCUGCACGGGGUACCCAGCCCCUUGGAGUUACCCGUGGGUGCCCGUUGGCAGUCCUCUCUUCUGNCUCUGGCUACUCUCCCCAGGUGGGAUGGCAGGCUCCUGCCAGCUCAGCCUUCCCAGCUGCCAUGUGGAGACCAUCCAGAGGAGCUCCUCACUUGAAGAGGUGCCAAGCCCCUCCCUCAGAAUGGGCUUCCAGGUUCAGCAUUUGGGCCCCUGCACCACCCUCCAGCCCAGAACUCUGCUCCCUGCCCCCUUCCCCCAGUACAGACUGUCCACCUGAGCCCUGCUGUCCCCACUGCCCUCGGCCACCCUGCAGGGCCUGCCGCCGCCUCUUCUAGCCCCGAGGUGUUGUUGGGCGCCUCCCACUCCAACACUUAGGGAGCCGUGGGAUCCAGUGAGUGCAAUGUUUAUUUUAAUGUAACAUCUGCCCUACUGUAAUGCAUAGAGGUAAAGCAUGCAUUCAUAUAAAUUAUUUAAUGGUGACUGUGUUUUUGAAAUGGAA